GACGAACGCUGGCGGCGUGCCUAACACAUGCAAGUCGAACGGAAAGGCCCUGCUUGCAGGGUACUCGAGUGGCGAACGGGUGAGUAACACGUGGGUGAUCUGCCCUGCACUUCGGGAUAAGCCUGGGAAACUGGGUCUAAUACCGGAUAGGAGCCAUUUUUAGUGUGAUGGUUGGAAAGUUUUUUCGGUGUAGGAUGAGCUCGCGGCCUAUCAGCUUGUUGGUGGGGUAAUGGCCUACCAAGGCGGCGACGGGUAGCCGGCCUGAGAGGGUGGACGGCCACAUUGGGACUGAGAUACGGCCCAGACUCCUACGGGAGGCAGCAGUGGGGAAUAUUGCACAAUGGGCGCAAGCCUGAUGCAGCGACGCCGCGUGGGGGAUGACGGCCUUCGGGUUGUAAACUCCUUUCGCUAGGGACGAAGCUUUUUGUGACGGUACCUAGAGAAGAAGCACCGGCUAACUACGUG
rnacentral:rRNA from 1 species